UGACGCGCCACCGCGUCAAAACGUGACUCACGCCACUCUGACACAAUUUGUAAACAACAGCACCAUAACUGAAAGUCCAGCCCGUGUUUUUUGAAAACUAGACAUCUCAACCAUCAUUUUGAUACCUCAUAUGUGUGGGUAUGUGCUGUAAAACUAACAGUGACAUUGUUUUAAAAAACGUUUUUGAUCAUUUUUUUUUUUACCUUGACCAGAAUGCUGUUGAAAUGACGCGACGGCGAAAUCGCGGCAAAACACUGCUCGGUUUUGAUCAUAAUUCUCCGUCAAAACAACAGAAAACGCCCAGAAGGAGAUACAAUACAUUUAGUAACUAUGUUUUUCACUAGUUUUAGAAAUCUCUGAUCUCUAAAAUACAGGGAUAAUACAUUCACAUAGUCCAGGAAGUGGACAGCCGACCGGAUGUUGUUUUGUGAUCAGUGAUGCGUUUCCAGGGACACAGUAAACUUUGAGGAAGAAGUAGUGUCAUGUUUAGUGUUCACGGUUUACAUUGCUGAAGGAAAAUUACAAGCCUAAACGGACAAGAGUCGUCAUUUCAAUGUGUUUCACGGACGUAUUGGCAUGUGGAUGUGGACAAUGUCGGACGACAUCAAAGUUGACAUGAGAAGUUGGACUGAAUACGAGAAGAGCAUGCGAGCUGCCUGCUGCCUACUGCCUACUCCUGCUGCUGCCGCUGCUGUUGUUGCAUUCAAUGUUGGGUAGCCAGCCACCCAUGCACGAUGACAAUGCCAGCAGCGGGCACCCAUGGGGAUGGACCCAGGAGUGGAGGAUGACCCAGUAUGAUGAAAGUUCAGCCCACUCACUGACACCAGUGACACAGUAUUGACCAGAUCUCCUGGAAGUGCCUCCUGACGCAGACCCAGUUGUUGGGUAGCCAGCCACCCAUGCACGUUGACACAGCCAGCACGGAGCACCCAGGGGGAUGGACCCAGGAGUGGAGGACGACCCAAUAGGAUGAAAAUUCAUCCCACUCACUGUUGACACCAAUGAGGGAACAAGAGAGGCUAGGCAACCCCAUCUUUUGACAACGGUCACCACCAGUCUAUUUCUAAAAAUGUUAUUAUUAUAUAUCUGUUAUAUAACAAUGUAUUUUUGUA